GCUGUAGUGUUAAUACACUACACUAAGGAAUUGCUUGUAAGCUCAGUUUUAGAAUCCCAGUCCACUUUAGUCUGAUUUUUCAAGGCAAUCGGUUUCCAUGGUUUUUUUAAGUAAGGUUUACUUAUUGGAUUUUACAGUGUACCUUACAUAUAAAUAUGAU